UGCCCGCUUCGGCAGCAGUAUACUAACAUCGGGACGACACAGAGAUUAGCAUGGCCCCUGUGCAAGGAUGACACGCAAAUUCGUGAAGCGUUCCAUAUUUUU